rnacentral:rRNA from 1 species
AUUAGCUAGUUGGAGAGGUAACGGCUCCCCAAGGCAACGAUCAUUAGGGGUUCUGAGAGGAAGGUCCCCCACACUGGUACUGAGACACGGACCAGACUCCUACGGGAGGCAGCAGUGAGGAAUAUUGGUCAAUGGGCGCGAGCCUGAACCAGCCAAGUCGCGUGCAGGAAGAAUGUCCUAUGGAUUGUAAACUGCUUUUGCAGGGGAAUAAAGUUCGGCACGUGUGCCGUUUUGUAUGUACUCUGCGAAUAAGGAUCGGCUAACUCCGUGCCAGCAGCCGCGGUAAUACGGAGGAUCCGAGCGUUAUCCGGAUUUAUUGGGUUUAAAGGGUGCGUAGGCGGGAUAAUAAGUCAGUGGUGAAAGUUUGCAGCUUAACUGUAAAAUUGCCGUUGAAACUGUUAUUCUUGAGAGUAGAUAAGGUAGGCGGAAUGUGUUGUGUAGCGGUGAAAUGCAUAGAUAUAACACAGAACCCCGAUUGCGAAGGCAGCUUACCGGGCUACAUCUGACGCUGAGGCACGAAAGCGUGGGGAUCAAACAGGAUUAGAUACCCUGGUAGUCCACGCAGUAAAC